rnacentral:rRNA from 1 species
CCUACGGGUGGCAGCAGUGGGGAAUAUUGGACAAUGGGGGGAACCCUGAUCCAGCGACGCCGCGUGAGUGAAGAAGGAUUUCGGUAUGUACAGCUCUAUCAGCAGGGAAGAAAGAAAUGACGGUACCGGACUAAUAAGCCCCGGCUAACUACGUGCCAGCAGCCGCGGUAAUACGUAGGGGGCAAGCGUUAUCCGGAUUGACUGGGGGUAAAGGGAGCGGAGGCGGCGAUGCAAGUCUGAAGUGAAAGGCGGGGGGCCAACCCCCGGACUGCUUCGGAAACUGGAUGGCUGGAGUGCAGGAGAGGUAAGUGGAAUUCCUCGUGUAGCGGUGAAAUGCGUAGAUAUUAGGAGGAACACCAGUGGCGAAGGCGGCUUACUGGACUGUAACUGACGCUGAGGCUCGAAAGCGUGGGGAGCAAACAGGAUUAGAUACCCGGGUAGUC